ensembl:lncRNA
GCUCAUCGCUCUGCAAUGGGGUCGGAAGGGUUAUGGGGUCAGAGGGGGCAAUGGGGUCAUUGGGAGUAAUGGGGUGAUUGGGGGCAAUGGGGUCGUUUUGGUCAAUGGGAGGAAUGGGGUCGUUGGGGUCAAUGGCGGCAAUGAGAGCAUUGGGGUCAAUGGGGACAAUGGGGUCAUUGGAGUCAUUGGGGGCAAUGGGGUCAUUGGGGUCAAUGGGACGAAUGGAAGCACUGGGGACAAUGGCGGCAUUGGGGCAAUGGGGUCAUUGGGGUCAAUGGCGGCAAUGGGGUCAUUGGGGGAAAUGGGAGCAAUGGGGUCAUUGGGGGCAAUGGGGUCAAUGGGGACAAUGGGGUCAUUGGGGAAAGUGGGGGGAAUGGGGGCACUGGGGUCAAUGGCGGCAAUGGGGUCAAUGGGGGUAAUGGGGUCAUGGCGGUCAAUGGGGUCAUUGGGGGCAUUGGGGGCANNNNNNNNNNNNNNNNNNNNNNNNNNNNNNNNNNNNNNNNNNNNNNCGGCAAUGGGGUCAAUGGGAGUAAUGGGGUCAUGGCGGUCAAUGGGGUCAUUGGGGUCAUUGGGAUCAUUGGGGCCAAUGGGAGCAAUGGGGCCAUUGGGGUCAAUGGGGGCAAUGAGUGCGAAUGGGAUCCAUGGGAAUAAAGGAGUCAAUGGGGACAUGUGGGAUAGCCGAGGGUCGGCCAUCUUGGGUGGACAGGUCGGCCAUCUUGGCUGCCCAACAGUCGGCCAUCUUGGAUAGCCAAGUCGGCCAUCUUGGAAAUCCAAGUCAGCCAUCUUGGCUGCCCAACACCCGGCCAUCUUGGACACCCAUAAGCCAGCCAUCUUGGCUGCCCAACACCCGGCCAUCUUGGAUAGCGAAGUCAGCCAUCUUGGAUAUCCAAGUCAGCCAUCUUGGAUAGCGAAGUCAGCCAUCUCGGAUAUCCAAGUCAGCCAUCUUGGCUGCCCAACACCCGGCCAUCUUGAAUAGCAAAGUCAGCCAUCUCGGAUAUCCAAGUCAGCCAUCUUGGCUGCCCAACACCCGGCCAUCUUGGAUAGCCAAGUCAGCCAUCUUGGCUGCCCAACAGUCUGCCAUCUUGGACACCCAUAAGCCAGCCAUCUUGGCCGCCCAACACCCGGCCAUCUUGGCGCCCCGGCAGCCAUCUUUUCCCCCCCCACACCUCCAUGUGCUCGAUGUGACGCAGGUGGCUGUUCUUGGUGGCCAGGAGGAGGGCGCGCGCCUCGUCCAGCUGCGUCUUCACCUGCAGGCUCUCGUGGUACAGCAGCGAGAACUGUGACUGCAGCACUUUGUACUCCAAGGUCUCCUUCACCGCCUCCUCCGGCAGCGAGCGCAGAGCCACCUGGCGGAGCGACCCCACACUCAGCCCCUAACGGCCCCACAGUGACCCCAAAGUGCCUCCAUACAGACCCCAUAUCGACCCCACAGUGCCUCCAUGGCAACCCCGUAGCGUCCCCGUAGCAUCCGCGUAGUGACCCCAUAUCAGCCCCGUAGUGACCCCAUAUUGGCCCAAUAGUGACCCCAUAGCAUCUGUAUAGUGAUCCCAUAUCAGCCCCAUAGUGACCCCAUAUCGGCCCCGUAGCGACCCCAUAACAUCCCCAUGUAAACCCCAUAGUGUCCCCAUAGCGACCCCAUAGCAUCUGUAUAGUGAUCCCAUAUCAGCCCCAUAGUGACCCCAUAUCAGCCCCAUAGGGACCCCAUGGGGACCCCAGAAUCCUCAAACCCCAUAGGAAUCCCAUAGAGA